rnacentral:rRNA from 1 species
UACGUAGGGGGCAAGCGUUGUCCGGAAUUAUUGGGCGUAAAGAGCGUGUAGGCGGCCAGAUAAGUCCGCUGUGAAAUCUCGAGGCUCAACCUCGAGACGCCGGUGGAAACCGUAAAGCUAGAGUCCGGAAGAGGAGAGUGGAAUUCCUGGUGUAGCGGUGAAAUGCGCAGAUAUCAGGAAGAACACCCGUGGCGAAGGCGGCUCUCUGGGACGGUACUGACGCUGAGACGCGAAAGCGUGGGGAGCGAACAGG